UGGGAUGGCCUUUCGAUAUCAUUACC
rnacentral:piRNA from 1 species